UUUCAUUUUCCUGCAGAGCUCAUCAGGAAAGGCUGCUCUGACAUGGAACCAGUAAGCUCUUCCCUCUACCUGCCGGGUGAUUCACACGGGCUCUGAACCAACAAGAAGGAAAGACCUGUGUGGGCACAGCAGGGAGGCAGCCCUCUGCAAGCCAGGAGGCAGCCCUCUCCAGGAACCAGCCCUGCCCACGCCUUCAUCUCAGACUCCAUCCUCCAGAACUGUGAGAAAACAAUUUCUGUUGUUAAGUAGCCGGGACGACAGGCAUGUGCCUCCACACCCAGCUAAUUUUUGUAAUUUUGUAGAGACAGGGUUUCACCAUGUUGCCCAGGCUGGUUUCGAACUCCUGGACUCAAGCAAUUCACCCACUUCUGCCUCCCAAAGUACUGGGAUUACAGGUGUGAGCCACUUUGCCCAGCCUCCAGAACCUUUUUAUUUUCCCAAAUGGAAACUCUGUCCCCAUUAAACGCUCACUCCCCUUCCUUCUCCCUAGCUCCUUGCAGCCCUCACCCUCCUUUUUGUCUCUGUGGUUUGACUCCACUAGGGAACCUCAGAUCAGUGGGUCCCACGAUUAUUGUUUAUGCUGCUUGUAUCUUUAGACAUAAUUGAGUUUUGAAAUAAAAAAAGAAAAUCAAAAAUAAAACAUCAAAUUUUAAAUCAAGAAUUCAAGCUGUCUUUAUUUAUUUUACAAACAAUAACAUGGCCACGUGAAUUCACGAUUCUAAUGAAGUGUGACCUAGUCCUGCCACCCUGAAUUCAUCAGAGAUCAGGGGCGUGGCCUCGGGAACCUCAGGUCUCAGGGAAUCCACCAGGCCUUUCCCACACAACCAAAGCGAGAAGCACAAGCACAUCUCAGCGUCUCUGCAAGUUUGUCGUCUUUCCUUGACUUCAACC
rnacentral:lncRNA from 10 species